UACGGGGGGGGUAAGCGUUGUUCGGAAUUACUGGGCGUGAAGGGCUCGUAGGCGGCCAACUAAGUCGGACGUGAAAUCCCUCAGCUUAACUGGGGAACUGCGUCCGAUACUGGAUGGCUUGGAUUUGGGAGAGGGAUGCGGAAUUCCAGGUGUAGCGGUGAAAUGCGUAGAUAUCGGGAGGAACACCGGUGGCGAAGGCGGCAUCCUGGACCGGUAUUGACGCUGAGGCGCGAAAGCCAGGGGAGCAAACGGG
rnacentral:rRNA from 1 species